AUUACCCAAUCCUGACACAGGGAGGUAGUGACAAGAAAUAACAAAGCAAGUCUCUCAGAGGCGCUGCGUUGGAAUGAGUAGAAUUUAAAUCUCUUUACGACCAUCAAUUGGAGGGCAAGUCUGGUGCCAGCAGCCGCGGUAAUUCCAGCUCCAAUAGGUAUAUUAAAGUUGUUGCGGUUAAAAAGCUCGUAGUUGGAUUUCUGUCUAGGGUGGCCGGUACCCACUAUGUGAAGUAUCUGGUUCAGUCUGGGCAUCCUCUUGGGGAUCGUUCCUGUGCUUGAUUGCAUGGGGCGGAAUUCAAGACUUUUACUUUGAGGAAAUUAGAGUGUUCACGGCAAGCUUUCGCUUUGAAUACAUUAGCAUGGAAUAAUGAUAUAGGGCAUAAGUUCUAUUUUGUUGGUUUCUAGAACAUAUGCAAUGAUUAAUAGGGAUAAUUGGGGGCACUGUGUUAACGCGUCAGAGGUGGAAUUCUUAGACUGCGUUACGACGAACUACUGCGAAAGCAUUUGCCAAGGAUGUUUUCAUUGAUCAAGAACGAAAGUAUGGGGAUCGAAGACGAUUAGAUACCGUCGUAGUCUAUACCAUAAACUAUGCCAACUAGAGAUUGGAGGUCGUUUUUUUUAUGACUCCUUCAGCACCUUAUGAGAAAUCAAAGUUUUUGGGUUCCG
rnacentral:rRNA from 1 species